AAAUAAGAAGCAAUUAUUUGCCUUUAGUUUCGACCUAAAAAUUUGAUUAAUUAAAAUCCUUAUUUU
rnacentral:tRNA from 1 species